CGUUGGGCCAGAAAAAAGCAUUGAGCUUGAGGGACUAGACUAAUCAAAAAAUGGAAUAACAUGGCAACAAUUACACUGAUGAGUGAGAGGGAAGCUACGGAUGCAUUCAGACACCUAUGGCACCACAGACUCAGCGCAUUCAGCAUUUUGUGUUUAGUGUCUUGUGUUUUUGAGAGCAGGAACUGAUAACCUCUCCUCAAAGAAAGUAAAAGGCAUGAAAUACCAUCAUUCUCAUGGAGAAAUUGGAGGUGAGAGGAACAGCAUGGUUAGAGUAAUGGCAGCCACUUAAAAUGUUUAUUCACAAUUCAUCUACUUCUCAAAAAGAAUUUGAGACAAGUUAUAAAGUUCUAAUAAAACAGAUUCAUGAACAGAAACUACAAAACAAACAUGAAGUAGUAAUCGAAGAAAAAUUCAUAUCAAGAAAUCCUGGGAAAAAGAGUGCAAUUUCUAGCUCUGAGGUUUCCAACAGCUGGGCAGAGAGAAACUCUGCGGAUUACAGAAUCCUCCUUAACUAAUCAUAAGAAUUGUGUUG